UACGUAGGGUGCAAGCGUUGUCCGGAAUUAUUGGGCGUAAAGAGCUCGUAGGCGGUUUGUCGCGUCUGCUGUGAAAACUCAGGGCUUAACCCUGAGCCUGCAGUGGGUACGGGCAGACUAGAGUGUGGUAGGGGAGAUCGGAAUUCCUGGUGUAGCGGUGGAAUGCGCAGAUAUCAGGAGGAACACCGGUGGCGAAGGCGGAUCUCUGGGCCAUAACUGACGCUGAGGAGCGAAAGCAUGGGGAGC
rnacentral:rRNA from 1 species